rnacentral:misc_RNA from 1 species
GGAAGGUCGACAUGAUGGGUUGGUGGUGAUGGUGAUCCUGCUGGUCUCUGUGAUGAAGAAGAGAAGAGGAGGGAGGAGCUGCAGGCGGCAGUUCCUCCUCCGAGUUUCUGGAGAUCAGCGGAGAGGAGUUGCAUGUGGCAACUCCUCCUCCUUCUUCCUCCUCCAGCCAGUUACGCAGGUGCAGAUGAAGCUAGCUAAGCUUCGAGGGCCG